CCAUCCUCUGCCGCGGCCACUAUCCCUCCAACCGAUUACGGAGAACAGAGGCGUGCACACGUACUAUAAUGGAAUACGCAAAAGAUGCAAGCUAGGAAUCGACAGAGUAGACCACACACAUGAUGUUUAGCUAGAAAAUAUAAAAGGGUGUACAGAGUAAACAAGAGGUCGGGAGGUAUUAACUCCCGAUGGAAAAACCUGGAAGUAUGCUUUGAUUCGCCCGAUAUCAACUACCGCUAGCU
rnacentral:lncRNA from 1 species